AGCAUAGGGAGCAGGGCACAGGGUAAGGGGAGUUGCCCCCCAGAGCACGGGUCCACCCCCUCAGCCCCAGGGCCAAGCCCGGGUUCAAACCUCAUAGUCCACCGAGAUGCCGUUGGGCCAGCUGAUGCUGACGUUAACCAGCACAACUCGCUCAGUGCCAUCAAGCCGAGACCUCUCUAUACGCGGAUACUGGCCCCACUCAGUCCAGAACAAGUACCUGCGGGUGCAGGUGGAAGAGGGGGGUCAGUCUCUAGAACAUGGAGGAGAGAGGACCUGUGGCCAGAGCCACAGGGCCAGACCAGAGCCAGGAGUGGGGACUGGCCAGCCUGCCCAGUUCCUCACCCCUUCUCCGGGUGGACGGUGAUAGCCCGGGGCUUAUCCAGACCCUGGGAGAUGACCACAUAGCGGAAAGAGCCAUUGAGCCGGGCAACCUCGAUGACGUCAAAGCCCUGGUCUGUCCAGUAGAUGUUGCCUGAGGAGGGAAUAGGCGGGGCUCAGGGUUCAGGUAGGGAGGAACGUGUGUACCUGGUUCCCUCCGGCUCCCCAAUACCCCUGCUUCUCACCGAUCUGUUCCUGCCCCUUCUCAGACCCCUCCUUCUGAGACCCUGCGUCCCCAUCUUCUGCCUCACCUCAGCCCUGACCCCCUCCCCACGGCUCACCUGCGAUCCAGUCCACUGCGAUGCCCUCCACUCGGCCAAUGCCAUUGGUCACCACGUCCUCACGCCAUGUCUGGUCCCCGACACUGGGACCAGGGCAUCAGACUUGUCAUUGGGAUCCAGGGGUAUCCCCCGGAUUCCCUCGUGCACAGAGUACAGGAGAAAGGAGCCCACACCUGAAACACAAAGACACUUCCAGCAUGGGCCUCAAUGACACCCCUUAAGCUUGGCUUCUGUUACCUUCAAACCCAUUUUCCUCUGCUUCUCUCUCUUUUUUUUUUUUUUUUUCCUUUUCUUUUCUUUUUACGGCCAUACCUUUGGCAUAUGGAAGUUCCCAGGCUAGGGGUAGAAUCAGAGCUGCAGCUGCCCGCCUACGUCACAGCCACAGUCACAGCCACACCAGAUCUGAGCUGCAUCUGCAACCU
rnacentral:lncRNA from 9 species